GAUGAACGCUGGCGGCGUGCCUAAUACAUGCAAGUCGAGCGAACAGACGAGGAGCUUGCUCCUCUGACGUUAGCGGCGGACGGGUGAGUAACACGUGGAUAACCUACCUAUAAGACUGGGAUAACUUCGGGAAACCGGAGCUAAUACCGGAUAACAUGUUGAACCGCAUGGUUCAACAGUGAAAGACGGUUUUGCUGUCACUUAUAGAUGGAUCCGCGUCGCAUUAGCUAGUUGGUAAGGUAACGGCUUACCAAGGCAACGAUGCGUAGCCGACCUGAGAGGGUGAUCGGCCACACUGGAACUGAGACACGGUCCAGACUCCUACGGGAGGCAGCAGUAGGGAAUCUUCCGCAAUGGGCGAAAGCCUGACGGAGCAACGCCGCGUGAGUGAAAAAGGUCUUCGGAUCGUAAAACUCUGUUAUUAGGGAAGAACAAAUGUGUAAGUAACUAUGCACGUCUUGACGGUACCUAAUCAGAAAGCCACGGCUAACUACGUG
rnacentral:rRNA from 1 species